UUGUGGGCUGAGCCUGGAGAAGGGAAAGUUGGUGUUUCUCCUCCCACCCUUCAGCGGGGCUGGGGCGUUAUUUCUGGCAGGGCGCGGGCUCCGUUCGCAAGGGCUGAGUGGGAACCCAAGUUGGAUUACAUAGAUUUCCACUUCAUUUACUACUCAAAUCAACAAUCCUGAGAGAUGGAAGAAGAAGCUGGAGUCCUAAUGGAUCAGCCUGAAUCUGCUCCAGAAAACAUAGAAGUGACUGAAGCUAAGAAAAAAGGACCACGCGGUCGGGGAAGAGGCCGAGGUGGCAGAGGAUACUCUAUAGGGAAAAUGCGAGAGAUCUGCUUGUAACAAAAUAGAAGCUUUCAGGACACACUCCUGUGACUGCUAGAUGUUGCCCAGGUUGCCAGAGGAUAGGUUGGAGUCCAAAUCUGAUGUUAGAAAAGUGUCCCAAGGUUGGAGCUGUGUUGUCAGAGCUGGUGUACAGUGAGGGGUAGAAAGACUGAGACUCUGCUGGGAUACCGGGAAUUAUAGGAGUAGCUCAGGCCCCCCUCCUGAGCAGGGGCAAAAGACAUUGAUGGCUAAAAUUGGUUGUCUUUGCCUUUUCAAGGCAGGAGAAGAGCGAAGGCAAUCCUUGCCUUUGUGCUUCUCCCACACUCAACUGGAUGCCCAUAAUCCUCUGAGUUUGGAGGGUUACAGGAAGCCACAUUGGAUGGCACCCUUAAUGUCUUCCUAAUUGGCAAAGUUUUAAUAUGCACAGUUGCAAUUAAAAUGCAUGCUUGCCCUAGUUUUGCAGACUUCAAAAGGAGAGAAAUGUGGGUCUGUGUUCCUAUUGAAAUAGUGCAGUUCUUUGUGCAUUAGAAUUCUAAGUUUAAAAAAAAUCACAAGGUCAACAUGUCAAUAGAGAUGUGAUGGCUUCAGGGGUGCUUUCUAUGUUUUCUCUCCUUUUGUUGUUUUGGAUGGUGUGUUACAAUGAUAUUUGAAUAUAAAUGGGCAAAAACUCAUUUUCUGUAAUACAAUUUAUGCUUGAAAUUGUUGACUUCUCACAGUGCAUGAAUAUUGUACAUAAAUAUUGAGGAGAUACAAGGUUACUGAAGGAGCAAUUUGUACAAGUAUCUAUGGGUAAAUUCUGCAAAUGAUUGGCUGUUGCAACUAAUUCACUGUUAUUAUUUUCACAAGCUGAACAUUUUUAUUAGCUAGCAGUGUGUCUAUCUGUUCUAAAUCUUUCACCUUAAUACUCUUGCACAGCUUAGUAGAAUUUGAUUAAUUAGAUACCUAUUGUGCCUCUAUAUAGAAAAAGUUCUAGCUGCUUUGCCUCUCUGUUAAGCUCUGCUGAGAUGUUCAUAGCCUUUAGAUACUGAAUUGGUAGAUUGUUUUUUGUAGACGUGGAAUGGGAAGAAUGCGCCCAUAUCCAGAUGCAAGAGGUCAAAGAGGAGUACGAGGGGGACCGUUUUUUCCACCAUUUCCACCCGUAAGAGGAAUGAUGAGAAUGCCUUUUCUGCCUCCACCACCACGGUUAGUAUUGAGGAUGUCAGUGCAGAUAUAUUUAAAGGGCCGUGGUGUCGGUUGGUUCACCCCACUGUGGCUCUUACUCAGAAGGUUUCUGUCUUGUUCAAAGUUUGUGUUUGACAGGGGCUAGAGAGAGUUAGGAAUGUUUGUUCCCCAAGAACAGUGCCCAAAAUAGGUAAAGUCACAGUUUGCCUAAGUGUGUAAACCAUUUGAGUAAUUUGACAAAUGCAGCUACUGUGAGAAGCAUGAUCUCUCUCUUCCUUCUCUCUUGCUUAUUUAAAAAAAUAUUUGGGAAAAUUUUAAACAGACCAUGUAUGGAAGUUUUUGCACACAACAUUGUAAAGAGAUAGAAUGUCACAGGAUCUGUGAUGGGAGAUUUUCCACUGGGGAGGCCACAUUGCAAUUAGUGUCUUUUGAAAUCUUAAGCAGGCAAAACAGCCCUGAGCUGGGUGUGAUUCACUGUCAGGAAUGCCAUCUCAGAAAGUUUGGGUGUAGUAAAUUUUACCUCAGGACAGUCCUGAUCAGAUUUAAAAACUUUGAAGUACAGGCCACAUUUGUAUGUUAUGCCAAACCAUAAUUCAGCACAGCACAUUCAAGCUUCAGAUUUUUCACAUUCCACCCCUUUCCUCUUCUCCACCUAGGUGACCCGGAGUGCUUAACAGCAGAAUGCUUUAGCACAUCCAUUGCUUAAACUUUUUCAUUUUAUUCAGUGAUACUGGACAUACUUUAGGGAAUGCACCCCUAGGUAUCAAAUAGUGGGGGAAUAUGCUUCUGAUUCUUAUGUCCAAAGCCAGUAAUGUAACUCAGACUUUGGAGCUGAGAAUUCACUGUCAAAUCUGCUUCUUCCCCCACAUUCCCAGCGGGUAAGGAAAGAACCAAGCUGGCUGCCUCGUCAAAGAUGAGAGUUCAACCUCAGGGAGGAUGGGAAGCUGCUUAGGCCAGGAAUAACGUAUCUUGUGUCCUUUGCAGCCUCCUUCUUUCCUCUUCCAAAGCUGGACAGAUGAAAACAGCCAUCUAGCAAAAAUAAAGAGCAGCAGAGAGGCAAAUAUACCUUCUGCUGCCACCCCUCUUUGCACAGGAUGUUUGCAGGCCUCCAGCUUGGAGUCUUAUGAUCCUCAAGGGGAGAAUCCAAUGGGCUGUGCCCUUAAACAGUGUCCUGCAAUCUGAGCGCAUUUCCAUUUAGGGAAAUGCUUUCCCCAAAUUUGCAUUUACUGAAUUGUGUAAUUCCAGAAAUUGUGUGAGAUUAGCUGCAGUGAUUAGUAUAUUGUUCUAUAUAUUCAAAAUGUAUCCACAGCACAAUGGGAUUUCUACACCCAGUUAUAAAUGGCAGAAAAUUCUCUCUGAAGCAGGACCUAGUGAUGACAAGAGUUACAUCUGUCUGUGCAGAUAUGGGGUUCCUCUCCCUCCUCUUUCUCCACCACCACCUGGUUUAAUGGGCUUCAGGGGCAGGCCUCCUCCCCCCAGAGCUAGAGGAAUGCUUCCAUGGCCACGAGGCCAGUUUCCACCUCCAAGAGGGUAAGGACGUUUCUUUCCAUUUUUCCUUUUUAAGAACAUUUUAUUUCCCACAUUAAUGAUAUUUACAGAAAAUUCAUUAAAACUUGAGGAAGUUAAAUUAAAAGCCAUCAUACAGACUAAAAAAAAACACAGAUCUUAAUCCUAGCAUAAUGUUUUUCUCACCUUGGAAGCCUUUAAAAUAUGCAUGGUGAAAGCAUAUUCCAAAUAGUUAUGUGUUAUAUUUUAAGUGUGUUAUUUUAAAAAUACCUUGUGAGAAGGAGGGAAAAAUGCAAUUAUUAUUUUUAUCCUUUUAUACAGCUUUCUCAAUGGACCUGGUGCACCAGCCCCUCCGCCACCUGGACGGGGCCAGAGAUGGCCUGGGCCGCCAGGUGGCAGACACUAUUAAAGAGGCUUAUUCUUUAAAUUGAGUAACAGGGAUGCUUGCUUCUUACCUUAAGACCAUUUGAAAUGGCUAGACUAAGAACUGCCUGUAAAGCAUUAAAGAUGGCAAAGAAAAUUAAUAGAACUCUGACAUACAUAUUUUUCCAACAGCCCUUAUGCACCAAGUUGGUAAAAGCCAUAUAUUUUUAAAUGUACCCUAAAGACCUGUGACUCCUUGGACAGUUUGAAGCAGAGUCAUUUUCAAAGUCUGGAAUUUGUAGACACUUGGCAUCUGCACAAGUUAAAAAUCAGCUCCUAACAAUAGGUCAAGCUUUUAAUUUAAUAUUCACACCAUAUAUAUUUAACAUGUGUGCAGCAUUAUUAGUCUAGUUCUCAAUCUGCUUUAGUACCUUGUAUUUCAUAUACUCUAUAUCUUGUGAACUCUUGUUUCAAUUGCACAUAACAUUUGGUGACAGUAAAUACUGAAAAUGAAACAUCUUGCUGCAAGGCAACUAUUCUGUCUGAUGUCUGGAAAUGUAACCAAUGCAUAAAAUGUAAUGGAUAAAAUGAGCUGAGAGUGUUAAUUUAAAAAGAAAAGAGAAUUUGUUAAUUUAAAAAGAAAAGAGUUUUUAUAAAUGAGCGAAAGUUUAUGGCGCCUGUUUUAAUGUUUAGUAAUCCUUCAUACACAGCUUGACCUUCAUGUUUACAUUUCUAGUCCUAUACAUAAAUGUAAUAGCUGAACAUUUUACCAAUUGUAUAAUUGCAGCUGGUGAUAUUAUCUGCAACUUAAGAUUAAUGGAUAUGUUAAAAUCUACAGUGUACAUACUGUUGUAAUUAUAGAUGGCUGUACAUUGCAUCAUUUUAGAUUUCAUUUUGUUCUGUGGCACUGGAAAAACUUACAAAAAGUGGAGCAUGCAGGUACUAUGUUACUGAAAUGACAGAUAAAACUGUAAAGUUUUGAAGCAGUGCUGUUUAAUGUCAAGGAUGAUCACAGUCUGUAAAUUACUUAAUUUCUUAAUACAUUCUGCAUUCAUUUGUGCUGAGGGCUGAAUUAAAAGUUUGGGGUUGUUGUUUUUUUACCAGUCUGGUGCAAUUGGGACUUUUUAACUUGAGCAUUCGCUACAUUGGGUCCAAAGUAAAAUAAAAUGAAAAGGAUAAAUGGAGGUAUGAAAGCCCAUAUACAUAUGUUCAUUCUACCCUUAUAUUUGGCUUCCAGUUAUUUGAUAGGUGAACAAGAUACUAACUUGAGCCUUGGUUUAAAAAAAAAGAUAGGACUUGGGUUGGUACUUGUUCAGAUUUUCACCACCCUUAAUUCCAAAAGCUAAUGUUUAACCUUUGCAUUGUGAGCUUGUAAAGUGAAAAUUUUCUGCUGUGUAUAAUAUGGGUAUCAGAAUAGACUUAUUCAGUACUAAAACCUAGUUAAAUCCUUAUUAAAGCAAUGUUUUGUUUAUAAUUUUGAGUUCCUAGAGAAGUCCCCUUGAAAUCAAUGAGAUCUUAUUCAGUCAUUACCCAUUUAAAUCUUGUUAAGUUCAGUCGUUCUGCUCUAAUGUAAGCAUGACUAUUAUGACCAAGCCUGUGUUAGCUUAAAGCAUAGUAUUAAAUGGUAACUUAAAAAAACACAAAAAAUGAAAUAAAUUGAUUAAUAGUUCUCAUGAUGCCCAAUGGUAAAAGAAUGAUGCUGUUAUUAUCUUCUGAAGGGUAACAUAGUCACCCUUUGAGGCCAGUGAGAGAUGACAUGCAGACCUUUGGGAGAGCUUUCAUCAAGGCCUUAUUGAAGGUGAGAGAGUAUUUAAAACAUUCUCCUCCCCCUGCUUACUUUCUUUUUCCUUAGGCAAAGCGGACAUUCAUCUGACUUCUAUUCAUGUUUGAAAUGCACAUGCGCGCACAUAGCACAGUCUUGAUAUUGUUCUGCUCAAGGGAUUGGUUCAGGGUUUGCAGAUGCCUCAUGAUGGAUCCCAGUUGUCUGCCUGGAUUCACGACAAGUUCAGUUCCAGGAACUGGGCGGUCAAGUACACUGGUAGUGGGUGAACCAGGCAUGUGUCUAGCAUAUUCAUAAGGCUGGGUUUUAGUCAGAUCUCUACCAUGCAGUUAUAGCCAGAAAUAACCUCACAGAAUGGUGUGUCUGUGUGAAGCAGAAGUAGCUGUAUCUGGGUGCAGUGCAUGCUAAAUCACAGUACAGUGCUCCUAUGGCGAGUAUUCCCCCCCGCCCCCCCGUUAGCUUUAUUUGGAUCCGUGUUUCCUCAUUGAACAGUGCAUAAAGCCUAUUCAGAUAUUAAACCUGAACAGGGUACAUUAGUACAUUACGCAGAGUAUGAGGCCUGGCACACAGGCCCUUCCCACACCAACUUAGGUCCAGCCUUACUGUGCUGGAGGACAAGGCCUAAAAAGGAGUUCUAUUCCUGUGGCUGGGGACCUGCCUUUAUCCAGCAUUGUCUUGGCUGUGCUGGGUGAGGCUGCAGUGGAAGAAAGGAACCAGGGAAGCUUGCUGUGCAAGUUCUGCUUGCUCUUCUGUGGAUCAAAAGCACUGUAUUUUUUUAAACAUCUGAUGCCUCCAGCCAUUGGUCAGUCUGGCCCAGUAUUCUGUUCUGAUUCACAGCAGUUUUCCAAAGUCUCAGCAGAGACAGCUGUUCUUCGGCCCUGCUGUCUAAGACCCCUUUUUCCUGGGCUGUCAGACAUUGAACCUGAUGCCCAUGAUGCAAAGACCACAGAACUGCGGCCUAUCCCCAGAUAAAAUGAACAAUGGCAGCAGGUGUCUCUUGAGUGUUCUUUGGCUGCUCUCAAAAGUGCAAGAAGAAAAAGAUUAUUAUGUCAGUUCUCCUACACUCUUGUACCAGUUGCUGAAGAAAUAGUACCAGAGCAGUGAAGGACUGCUGGCUGUCUUGGCAUUAACCAAUAAAUUAAUACCAUGCUAUAUAUUUAAUAGCAAGAUAUUGCAUAUUGCUAUAAGGAAAACUAACCCAAGAGAAAAAACUAAUGCAAACACAUUUGAACUGUAAUACGGCAAUUAACUUAAUUUUUUCUUUCACUGUAAUCUAGAGGACGGUACUGUGUGAAAUUUAAAAUAAAGUAGCAAGUUACCCAAACUUUUUAUCUGAUUUUUCUUUAAUUUUUAAAGCUAAAUAUGUACAAAUGUUCAUAAGGAAUUAGCAUUCAUUGCUUGCUCUAGCAUAUUAAGCUUGCUGCAGCCAUCUCAUAUAUAUAUAUAUAUACACACACACGCGCGCGCGCGCAAGUAAACGGUUUUGACAGACACCUGCAUUCCUUAUUCAGCCCCUUUUAUCAGCCUGUUCGCCUUUUUUUCCUUUUCAGUGCUAUGGUUGCGGAAGUGCUUUUCAUAGCUUUUAUUUUGCAUUGCUUUAGGGAAGAGCCAGAUUGACAGGAACGUUAGCCAAAUUCGAGACAACUUAGAGUGGUGUCUACCUCUGGUUCCAUUUCAUUGUUUUGAGUUCUGCAUUUCAUGUGAUGCAGUAGGGUUGCUUUUCAGCCAAAUGAGCUUGUAUGACCCCUCUUUUUAUGGUUACCCUUUUUGCAUUGAAUCUUACCAAGUUAAGAACUUCAGAGUGUAUAUAAAAGAGCAAUAAAUAAAAUAUAAUGGUGCUCCAGUGCAAACUGGAAGAAUGAAAAUACGAUCUUUAUAUUGGUGACAUUAUUGAUACAUAUUUUAAGAAGGCCUGUCCCUGUCAUGAACCCCUGCUUGGCACAACUUCCACUCUGAGGCCCUCAAGGAAACUGUUCCUUAGUAAGUGGCGGCCAAAGACAGGCCACAGAUGGGAACAAAAUGCUGCCUGAAUAAUCUUAAAAGUGUAUGUUAGAUCCAGUAGAAAUAAGGUCCCAGUGAGAAGAACUUAAGUUGUUACUAAAUUUAGCUAACUUGGUUUGGCUUUAACCCUGUACUAUUUCUGUUCCUGAUACCCCAUUGGAGUAUGAUUGUAUUGUGGGAGUCAGCUAUGCUGAGUCUCUUUCAAUAUAAACACAAUAAAGAAUGUGUUUUCAUGUUCUCCUUUAAAAAUUUAAGAUACCUCAGUACUUGUCAUAGCGUGUCACUUUAUUAAAUUUUUUUGGACUUGCCUUUCUGUCAAGGUUAGCGUUCAACAAAAUAAGACACCAAAGGCAAAAUUGCUCACAAAUGCAAAAUGGAAACACGUAAGCUGUGUCCAGAGUUGAGGAUGCUGGGCAAGAAUGACCAAGGGUCUGGCUUAGAAUAAGACAACUCCCUUUCCUAGAAUAAGAAAUCCAGCAGGUUAUAACAUAGCAAAACAGGAAGUAAAGUAUUGGCCAAAGAGAUCAUUUUGAUGGCUUUGGCUCUCUCUGCCAAGCCACUCUGGUAAAUGAGAUCCAAAACCUAGUUCUAGGGUAUUUGUUCAUAGCUGGGUUAUAAACUUCUCCUUUAGUCAUUCAGAGUAAUUAUUCUUCAUACCAACAUGUAUUUUGGAUAGUUUCUGUAUAAAUGUGAUCAUGCAGAUAAUGGUUUGUUCUGGUAUAAAUUAUCAUUCCCACGUGUUCUGUCACUUCCAAACUUGAGCAAUGGUUACAGGAGUUUUACUCUAGUAUGUAACUUACAUAGGGAUCUUCAUUUGGUGAUAUAUAUUUGGAGGCUGCUCUGUUUUGUGCUGUGGCACAAAAGUUCAAGUUUGCACAGAACCAGAACACUAAGCAUAGAUUGUUGUUGAAUUGUAUCAUUCAACAUUGUCAUUAUGUGUAAACCCUGCAUUAUGGGUUAACUCUUAAUUAUGAACAACCCAGGAAUAUGCCCCAUGUAUUCUUGUUUGGUUAUGAACGCUGGAUUGUCUGUGAUUAGUUAAAUCCAUAGUGCAGGGUCCACACUCAACAAUCCACACUCAGGUUUUCAUUAAAUGUGAACCAGGCCUAAGUCUGCACUUGCUUGUCCCCCAGAGGAAAUGCUGUUAUCACUACUGCACGAUUUAAAAUAUAAAGGCUUAAAUACAAUACUACAUUCUUUGAGGAAGUGGAAACUGUUUUAUUACAGCAUGUGAAAGUUAAGGUGGCUACUUCUGAGAUAAGGUACAAAUGUCACUGCAAAGUUUUGGAAAAUGGGCCCCUAUUCUCCCAUCUGUUACAUGCAAAUAUAUGCCACAAUAGGUAAGGAGGUAAUACUAUACCUACAUGUGAAUAAGCCCCUCUGAACUCUAGAGUGCUUACUUUUAAGUAAACACACAGUCUUGCAGUGUCAUUUUAUUUCCAGAUACUAGAAGAGAAAUCAAGGGUUGAAGUGAAAGACUGCUUUCUCAUCAUGGUGGUCUAUAAUGGAGACUGGCAGUUCCCCUUUUAUAUGACAGUUGUGGUCCAAUUUAUGUGUAGUAGCAGGGUAUGCUAAGGUAUAAAAUGGGUGAUGUAUUUCUGUCUCCAUUACGAUCGGGAGAUUCUAAUUGCUUUGCCAGAGUAGACAUCAUUUUCAAGGCUGCUAGUCUAAUGCACCUGGAUAUCAACAAAGCAGAGUGUGGCGAUGCCUUGCCUCCCCAUUUGUCCCAGUGUGCCGCGAGAGAUGCAGGCCUCUGCUGUCAGGCUGAACACAUAUUGAUAGUCUUCUGUCUUUAAUGGGGAUGCACAGAUGCUACUUCAGUAGGGUCUCUACAGAGAAACUUUCUCAUGGACUGUGCUACCUUUUUCAUAACUUUGCAAACACUAUUUUCAGGAAGACAAAGCUUGAGAGAAAUACAGUAGUUCCAUAAAGUAGUCCAAUCUUGAAUCGGGGAGGAAGAAAUGACUUGUCUGGUGUAAUAAAUGUCAUUCCAGGGUAACAUCAUUUUAAUAAAGAAAAAAGCUUUGUAGCAAUAAAUGAGAAAUUAAUAAAGCAA